rnacentral:rRNA from 1 species
UGCGGAAGGAUCAUUAUUGAAAUUAUAGGUGAGGGUUGUAGCUGGCCUCUCGGGGCAUGUGCACGCCCGAGCCCUUAAUCCACACACACCUGUGAACCUAUUGUAAGGGCCCUUAAAAAAGGCCUUUACGUCUUAUCAUCAACCCAUCGUAUGUCUCAUAGAAUGUAAAUAUAUGUCCUCGCCUUAAAAAGCGUUGAUAAACUUAUACAACUUUCAACAACGGAUCUCUUGGCUCUCGCAUCGAUGAAGAACGCAGCGAAAUGCGAUAAGUAAUGUGAAUUGCAGAUUUUCAGUGAAUCAUCGAAUCUUUGAACGCACCUUGCGCUCCUUGGUAUUCCGAGGAGCAUGCCUGUUUGAGUGUCAUUAAAUUCUCAACUCUGAUCGAUUUGUUUCGACUUCGGAGCUUGGAUUUGGAGCGUGCUGGCGUCGGUCGGCUCCUCUUAAAUGCAUCAGCGGAAUCUAACGUUUCGGACGUCAGUGUGAUAAUCAUGUUGCGCUGUCUGUCUGAUCCGAAAGCCCGCUCAC